CAUGUUAAACCAUAUUGGGACCGCGGGUCUUUGGGGAGACCCUUUGCCCGCGCCCAUCUCUCGCACAGCGUGCGCCUAGGCGCGCGUGGUGCGGGCUAACGAACCCCGGCGCGGCAUGCGCCAAGGAAAACUCACAGAAACGUCGGCCUCCCAUCGCCCCGUUCGCGGUGCGCGGUGGGGGAACUGAUGUCUCUUCAAUGUCAUAACGACUCUCGGCAACGGAUAUCUCGGCUCUCGCAUCGAUGAAGAACGUAGCGAAAUGCGAUACUUGGUGUGAAUUGCAGAAUCCCGUGAACCAUCGAGUCUUUGAACGCAAGUUGCGCCCGAAGCCAUUCGGCUGAGGGCACGUCUGCCUGGGCGUCACGCAUCGCGUCGCCUCCCUCACCCACACCCCACGGGGCGAUUGGGUGUUGGGGGCGGAAAUUGGCCCCCCGUGCACUUUUGUCGUGCGGCCGGCCUAAAUGUGAACCCGUGUCGACUCGCGUCACGACCAGUGGUGGUUGAAGACUCAACUCUCGUGCUAUCGUGUCGUUUUGAGUUGGCUUG
rnacentral:rRNA from 1 species